UGCAACAAAAUGCAACAGGCUUAAAACAGGAUUUUUUUUAUUUCUCGAGCGCGAUGACCGGUCUUAGUAAUGAGGGGCGUUUCGCAGGUGGACUGAUCCUCGCAAACGGAAGAGGCGUUACUUUGGCCUCGGUAUCAGCUCGGAGCGUCGUUUUACUUUUCACGGUUUCAGGACGACUUGCAGUAGUAACAAAUUCAGCAGGGACUGAACCUGAUCCUUUACAAGUACUUGGGACUGGACUUGGAUAAAAACCUAAGAUGGGACAAAUGGUCACACCUUCAGAACUUGGAAGAAACAGGCAGAUGGCUGGGAAUAAAGCAGGACUGCUGACUUGAUCUGCACAGACCCUCUGCUACAAGUUGAGCAUCAGUAAGUGAGUAUCAACUCUGAGCACUGUUUCUGAAUCAGCAGAAUGUUUUCAGCUCCCGGCCAGUGAUGAAGGACCAGGUCAAGAGCGAUAUCCCU